rnacentral:rRNA from 1 species
UACGGAGGGGGCUAGCGUUGUUCGGAAUCACUGGGCGUAAAGGGCGCGUAGGCGGCUUUGUAAGUCGGGGGUGAAAGCCUGUGGCUCAACCACAGAAUUGCCUUCGAUACUGCGAGGCUUGAGACCGGAAGAGGUUAGUGGAACUGCGAGUGUAGAGGUGAAAUUCGUAGAUAUUCGCAAGAACACCAGUGGCGAAGGCGGCUGACUGGUCCGGAACUGACGCUGAGGCGCGAAAGCGUGGGGAGCAAACAGG